ACCACACACGCACACAAAGAAACCCAACCUCGCACACACUCAGAAGUGAAACUUCAAGAAACGCCAUGCAAAACCCGGCAUGGACUCCCAUGGUCGUGGAGGGGACGACGACGACGCAGGAUCACAGACCGGGCUGGGGAGGCGGAGCCGCCGAAACUGCAGCCAUUCAACAGACUGAAGGACAAGGAGCGAACAACUGACAGACUGCAAGGGGACGAAUAUAUAUUUAUUCCCCCAUUCAGCGAAGCAUUUUACGGAAACGGACAUUUAAUUGAAAACUCGCCCUUGCUUUCGCGUGCCUUGCGGCGCUGGAAAUAGUUGGGUGGGAGUUUUAAAAAACACCGACUGCAUAAAUUCAUGCUAUGUUCUCACCUGGAAGAUGGGUUAGUCAGAGUUGCCGCACAAAAUAAUACACAACAUUCUUCCAGGACUUCUUCAGCGUGAAAUAUUGCAAACUAUUUGUCUUUCUUAAGUGUUUAUUCACAAGCUAGGCAUCAGACAGAUUUGACAGAAACAAAUCUGGCUAUCCCCACUCCUUAUAAUCUAUUAUUCAGUUACGUGCGAAAUUAAAUCAAAUAUACUAUUUUUAGAAACUAAAUUUGGACAUCCAGCUUGUCCACUGAGAAAUUGUGAUAUGAACGCAUUACUUCCUGCAAGAUUAACAGGACGGAAAAAAUGCUAAUGAUCUUAAUAUCAUUAAGCAUUUUUAGAACAAACAUAAAUUUAGCAACUUAACUUUUCCUGUAUAAAACAAUUACCGACAGCAGUUCUUAGCUCAUCACAAAUGUACACAUCCCCCCCCCAAAUCCCACUCUUCUCUAUAACAGAAUUUAUCUGUUAAAAAUGAAAAUAUUCUAAAAAAUAAUAUGAAAAAUUUUGGUACUAUCGCAAAUAUUUUAAGUAUUAAACGUUUUCUUAGCUCAUACCUUGACUGCUAGUUAAAGCAGCCAAAUUAUCUUGACGGGCCACGUUGCCUCCUUCAGUUUGUAUGAUUUCUAACGUUUUAACUAUGCAAAAAUGCAAUUAAUUAAACUGUUUUUCCAUAGUGCAUGGGUUAUCCCAGGAAAAGCUAAGCCAUUGCAAAGUAUUUGUAGGACAGAAAGAAUGAUAUAAGGGCUUAUUUAAAAUAUGAUUGAAAGAAGUCUCUCCAGAAAACGUGCUUUGUUUUGCUUCUCUCAUUACCGGCAGUGUUGAAGAUAUAUCCAGAAAGAAUAUAUUCACAAACUUUGGUGUGUU